AGAAACCAACAGGGAUUGCCUCAGUAACGGCGAGUGAAGCGGCAAAAGCUCAAAUUUGAAAUCUAGCACCUUCGGUGUUCGAGUUGUAAUUUGAAGAUGGUAACCUUGGGUUUGGCUCUUGUCUAUGUUCCUUGGAACAGGACGUCAUAGAGGGUGAGAAUCCCGUCUGAUGAGAUGCCCAUUCCUAUGUAAGGUGCUAUCGAAGAGUCGAGUUGUUUGGGAAUGCAGCUCUAAGUGGGUGGUAAAUUCCAUCUAAAGCUAAAUAUUGGCGAGAGACCGAUAGCGAACAAGUACAGUGAUGGAAAGAUGAAAAGAACUUUGAAAAGAGAGUGAAAAAGUACGUGAAAUUGUUGAAAGGGAAGGGCAUUAGAUCAGACUUGGUGUUUUACGAUUAUCUUCUCUUCUUGAGUUGUGCACUCGUAUUUCACUGGGCCAGCAUCGAUUCGGAUGGCAAGAUAAUGGCAGUUGAAUGUGGCUUCACUUCGGUGGAGUGUUAUAGCUUCUGCUGAUAUUGCCUGUCUGGAUCGAGGGCUGCGUCUUGACUAGGAUGCUGGA
rnacentral:rRNA from 1 species